rnacentral:RNase_P_RNA from 1 species
ACGGAGGACCGGGCAGCCGCCGCAACCCGCGUGGUUGUGGAGGAAAGUCCGGGCGCCGCAGGACAGGAUACCGUGACACACGGGGCCCGCAAGGGUACGGAAAGCGCCGCAGAGAAAAGACCGCUCUUUUUUCGCGGGUAACAGCCGCGGAAACGGGGUGAGGCGUGAAAGGGUGGGGUAAGAGCCCACCGGCCCGGCAACGGGCGCUGGCAAGCCCUAUCCGGCGCAAGGCCAAGCAUGGGAGGAUCCCCAAAAUGAAAAUGGCGGGGAGGAGGCUGUCCGUCUUCAAACCAUCUUCCCGGGUAGGCCGCUUAGACAAAUGGCUGCCUCUUCCCGUUAUUUAUUAAUCUAAAUCUAACGGGGAAAGACAGGACCCGGCUUAUAGGUCCUUCCGUCCGC